GCAAGAAGAUAGAGAUAAGAGUAUGAUUGAUUACAAUAAAUUGGUUAACAUCCCAUGAUGUUCAAUAUUUGCUUAACAAAAAAACUUAGAUAACAUCCAAAGUAUUGCAAAAUAUUCAUAGCAAACUAAUAAUGAGUUAGUGCAUCUUCUAAACUUGUAUCUUCACUAAAGAAUGAACAAAAGUCUGGCAGAAAACUUAAAAUUUCAA
rnacentral:lncRNA from 1 species